GAUGAACGCUGGCGGCGUGCCUAAUACAUGCAAGUCGAGCGAACUGAUUAGAAGCUUGCUUCUAUGACGUUAGCGGCGGACGGGUGAGUAACACGUGGGCAACCUGCCUGUAAGACUGGGAUAACUUCGGGAAACCGAAGCUAAUACCGGAUAGGAUCUUCUCCUUCAUGGGAGAUGAUUGAAAGAUGGCUUCGGCUAUCACUUGCAGAUGGGCCCGCGGUGCAUUAGCUAGUUGGUGAGGUAACGGCUCACCAAGGCAACGAUGCAUAGCCGACCUGAGAGGGGGAUCGGCCAAACUGGGACUGAGACACGGCCCAGACUCCUACGGGAGGCAGCAGUAGGGAAUCUUCCGCAAUGGACGAAAGUCUGACGGGGCAACGCCGCGUGAGUGAUGAAGGCUUUCGGGUCGUAAAACUCUGUUGUUAGGGAAGAACAAGUACAAGAGUAACUGCUCGUACCUUGACGGUACCUAACCAGAAAGCCACGGCUAACUACGUGCCAGCCGCCGCCGUAACAC
rnacentral:rRNA from 1 species